UGGAUCCAGACUUUGAUUAUGGCUCAGGAUGAACGCUGGCGGCGUGCCUAAUACAUGCAAGUCGAACGAAACUUCUUUAUCACCGAGUGCUUGCACUCACCGAUAAAGAGUUGAGUGGCGAACGGGUGAGUAACACGUGGGCAACCUGCCCAAAAGAGGGGGAUAACACUUGGAAACAGGUGCUAAUACCGCAUAACCAUAGUUACCGCAUGGUAACUAUGUAAAAGGUGGCUAUGCUACCGCUUUUGGAUGGGCCCGCGGCGCAUUAGCUGGUUGGUGGGGUAAAGGCUUACCAAGGCAAUGAUGCGUAGCCGAACUGAGAGGUUGAUCGGCCACAUUGGGACUGAGACACGGCCCAAACUCCUACGGGAGGCAGCAGUAGGGAAUCUUCCACAAUGGGCGAAAGCCUGAUGGAGCAACGCCGCGUGGGUGAAGAAGGUCUUCGGAUCGUAAAACCCUGUUGUUAGAGAAGAAAGUGCGUGAGAGUAACUGUUCACGUUUCGACGGUAUCUAACCAGAAAGCCACGGCUAACUACGUGCCAGCAGCCGCGGUAAUACGUAGGUGGCAAGCGUUAUCCGGAUUUAUUGGGCGUAAAGGGAACGCAGGCGGUCUUUUAAGUCUGAUGUGAAAGCCUUCGGCUUAACCGGAGUAGUGCAUUGGAAACUGGGAGACUUGAGUGCAGAAGAGGAGAGUGGAACUCCAUGUGUAGCGGUGAAAUGCGUAGAUAUAUGGAAGAACACCAGUGGCGGAAGCGGCUCUCUGGUCUGUAACUGACGCUGAGGUUCGAAAGCGUGGGUAGCAAACAGGAUUAGAUACCCUGGUAGUCCACGCCGUAAACGAUGAAUGCUAAGUGUUGGAGGGUUUCCGCCCUUCAGUGCUGCAGCUAACGCAAUAAGCAUUCCGCCUGGGGAGUACGACCGCAAGGUUGCAACUCAAAUGAAUUGACGGA
rnacentral:rRNA from 1 species